rnacentral:rRNA from 1 species
AUUGAACGCUGGCGGCAGGCCUAACACAUGCAAGUCGAACGGUAACAGGAAACAGCUUGCUGUUUCGCUGACGAGUGGCGGACGGGUGAGUAAUGUCUGGGAAACUGCCUGAUGGAGGGGGAUAACUACUGGAAACGGUAGCUAAUACCGCAUAACGUCGCAAGACCAAAGAGGGGGACCUUCGGGCCUCUUGCCAUCGGAUGUGCCCAGAUGGGAUUAGCUAGUAGGUGGGGUAACGGCUCACCUAGGCGACGAUCCCUAGCUGGUCUGAGAGGAUGACCAGCCACACUGGAACUGAGACACGGUCCAGACUCCUACGGGAGGCAGCAGUGGGGAAUAUUGCACAAUGGGCGCAAGCCUGAUGCAGCCAUGCCGCGUGUAUGAAGAAGGCCCUCGGGUUGUAAAGUACUUUCAGCGGGGAGGAAGGGAGUAAAGUUAAUACCUUUACUCAUUGACGUUACCCGCAGAAGAAGCACCGGCUAACUCCGUG